CUGCCUGCGAGUGCGCUGAGAGAAACGGAGCGAGGCAGACAGAGGAGAGCUUAAGUUCGACCAGAUGGACAGGAACAGGAGAGUGAUAGAUGAGAUGAGGAGAUGGAAGGAGGAAGAGAAGCAAAGAUCAGAUACCAUCUCUCCUAUGGACUUUGUAAAUCUGCAGUCUCAGAUCAACACAAUCCUGCCCUUCAGCACUAUCAGCAGCAGGAGCAGCAGCAACCUCUGAAAAGCAGCAUUGUACCCCAUCAGGAUCUUGUGUCUGAGAGGGAUUACUGGACUCACAUUAAUGCAGACUUGAAGAAAAAUGAUGCUCGAAAGGAGUCCCUCAUCAAAGGAUUUUGCAUCUGUCUCAAUUACAAUCGCUGACAUCUUGGUGCAGGAGUACAUGUUGAG
ensembl:lncRNA